rnacentral:rRNA from 1 species
AGCGGCGGACGGGUGAGUAACGCGUGGGUAACCUGCCCUGUACACACGGAUGACAUACCGAAAGGUAUGCUAAUACGAGAUAAUAUGCUUUUAUCGCAUGGUAGAAGUAUCAAAGCUUUUGCGGUACAGGAUGGACCCGCGUCUGAUUAGCUAGUUGGUAAGGUAACGGCUUACCAAGGCGACGAUCAGUAGCCGACCUGAGAGGGUGAUCGGCCACAUUGGAACUGAGACACGGUCCAAACUCCUACGGGAGGCAGCAGUGGGGAAUAUUGCACAAUGGGCGAAAGCCUGAUGCAGCAACGCCGCGUGAGCGAUGAAGGCCUUCGGGUCGUAAAGCUCUGUCCUCAAGGAAGAUAAUGACGGUACUUGAGGAGGAAGCCCCGGCUAACUACGUGCCAGCAGCCGCGGUAAUACGUAGGGGGCUAGCGUUAUCCGGAAUUACUGGGCGUAAAGGGUGCGUAGGUGGUUUCUUAAGUCAGAGGUGAAAGGCUACGGCUCAACCGUAGUAAGCCUUUGAAACUGGGAAACUUGAGUGCAGGAGAGGAGAGUGGAAUUCCUAGUGUAGCGGUGAAAUGCGUAGAUAUUAGGAGGAACACCAGUUGCGAAGGCGGCUCUCUGGACUGUAACUGACACUGAGGCACGAAAGCGUGGGGAGCAAACAGGAUUAGAUACCCUGGUAGUCCACGCCGUAAACGAUGAGUACUAGCUGU